UGCGGUCCAGGCCGGAGGUGAGGUUAGCCCCUGGAGCACAGAGACACACGAGGAACUGUGUGAGCAUGAGCGGCACUGUGCUGAGGAAAAGCUGCAUCCUUAAUGGGUCAAAGAGAGACAGAGUCGCCUGGCCAGCCCCAGCAGAAGGUUUAUAUGAGUGUGAGUGUGUUUGGAAGUGUGUCUGGGUGUUUAUCCGUGCGUGUGCCAGCGACUGGGCCGUGGCAUGGUGCUUCUGAGGGGAGGACAUGUCACCGGGCAUGUCUGUGGUGGGAAAGACAAGCCAAUUAAAGAGACUUUCCAGAUGAUUCGCAUACUUUCUAGUGCAGUGUGUGUGCUUGCUGUCCCUGAAAUGGCGAGGGGCUGAAGCACAUUGGCUGGAAUUUGAAUUGCUUUGACUGGCCCACAAAGGAAAAGACUUGGGGAAAUGGAAAUCCACAGAUUCCAAAACAGGUUUGCAAGGUUUUUGAGUCCAAUUAAGGCUUUCAGUUACCUGCAACUACUCACACCUGCCUCUCAUCAGACCGUCAGCCUUGCAGUAUUUCUUCCCCGGUUCUUCAGCCACUCAUCGCCAGAUUGUUCUGUCAGCUCCUGUGGACCAUGCCCAUCUACCUACCUGCUCACUCUCUGCCAGCCACGCCAACAUCCGCCAACCUUGCCAGUCUCCCUCUGUAAGCCCUGGUCCCUCUCUCCAUCUCCGCCCCCAUCAUCGCCACUUCCACCUACUCCAUUCCCAGCUCCCCUUUACAAUAAAUACUCUAAUUGAACCUUC